UUCGAUUACCAUUUCAAAGUUGAGCAAGAAGCAGGAUCAGCAACCUUUGCCUUCUUCAGCUUCAAUGGAACCGCUGGAGUGUGGCGUACAGCAGCCAUCAAAGAGGCAGGAGGUUGGAAGGACCGCACUACAGUUGAAGACAUGGACUUGGCAAUUCGAGCAACCCUAAAGGGUUGGAAAUUUAUCUAUGUCGGGGAUAUCAGAGUUAAGAGUGAAUUGCCAUCCAGUUACAAGGCCUACUGUCGGCAGCAAUUCCGGUGGGCUUGUGGUGGUGCAAAUUUAUUCCGAAAAGUAGCU
rnacentral:rRNA from 1 species